GACGAACGCUGGCGGCAUGCCUAACACAUGCAAGUCGAACGGAGAUUAUUUCGGUAAUCUUAGUGGCGAACGGGUGAGUAACGCGUGGGCAACCUGCCCUCUAGAUGGGGACAACAUCCCGAAAGGGGUGCUAAUACCGAAUGUGACAGCAAUCUCGCAUGAGGAUGCUGUGAAAGAUGGCCUCUAUUUAUAAGCUAUCGCUAGAGGAUGGGCCUGCGUCUGAUUAGCUAGUUGGUGGGGUAACGGCCUACCAAGGCGAUGAUCAGUAGCGGGUCUGAGAGGAUGAACGGCCACAUUGGGACUGAGACACGGCCCAGACUCCUACGGGAGGCAGCAGUGGGGAAUCUUCCGCAAUGGGCGAAAGCCUGACGGAGCAAUGCCGCGUGAGUGAUGAAGGAAUUCGUUCCGUAAAGCUCUUUUGUUUAUGACGAAUGUGCAGAUUGUGAAAAAUGAUCUGUAAUGACGGUAGUAAACGAAUAAGCCACGGCUAACUACGUG
rnacentral:rRNA from 1 species